CCUACGGGAGGCAGCAGUGGGGAAUAUUGGUCAAUGGGCGCGAGCCUGAACCAGCCAAGUAGCGUGAAGGAUGACUGCCCUACGGGUUGUAAACUUCUUUUAUAAAGGAAUAAGGUGAGUCACGUGUGCCUCUUUGUAUGUACUUUAUGAAUAAGGAUCGGCUAACUCCGUGCCAGCAGCCGCGGUAAUACGGAGGAUGCGAGCGUUAUCCGGAUUUAUUGGGGUUAAAGGGAGCGUAGGUGGGUUGUUAAGUCAGUUGGGAAAGUUUGGGGCUCAACCGUAAAAUUGCAAUUGAUACUGGCAGUCUUGAGUACGGUAGAGGUAGGCGGAAUUCGUGGUGUAGCGGUGAAAUGCUUAGAUAUCACGAAGAAUUCCGAUUGCGAAGGCAGCUUACUGGACUGCCACUGACGUUGAUGUUCGAAAGUGUGGGUAUCAAACAGGAUUAGAUACCCGUGUAGUC
rnacentral:rRNA from 1 species